CCUUAGGGUUGUAAAGUCCCGUUUUCGGGCGGGGAAGAUAAUGACGGUACCCGCAGAAAGAAAGCCCCGGCUAACUUCGUGC
rnacentral:rRNA from 1 species